rnacentral:rRNA from 1 species
AUACGGAGGGUGCAAGCGUUAAUCGGAAUUACUGGGCGUAAAGCGUACGUAGGCGGUCCGUUAAGUUAGAUGUGAAAGCCCCGGGCUUAACCUGGGAACUGCAUUUAAAACUGGCGAACUAGAGUUGAGUAGAGGGGAGUGGAAUUUCAGGUGUAGCGGUGAAAUGCGUAGAGAUCUGAAGGAACACCAGUGGCGAAGGCGACUCCCUGGACUCGAACUGACGCUGAGGUACGAAAGCGUGGGUAGCAAACGGGAUUAGAAACCCUAGUAGUCC